rnacentral:rRNA from 1 species
GUGGGGAAUAUUGGACAAUGGGCGAAAGCCUGAUCCAGCCAUGCCGCGUGUGUGAAGAAGGUCUUCGGAUUGUAAAGCACUUUAAGUUGGGAGGAAGGGCAGUAAGUUAAUACCUUGCUGUUUUGACGUUACCGACAGAAUAAGCACCGGCUAACUUCGUGCCAGCAGCCGCGGUAAUACGAAGGGUGCAAGCGUUAAUCGGAAUUACUGGGCGUAAAGCGCGCGUAGGUGGUUUUGUAAGUUGGAGGUGAAAUCCCCGGGCUCAACCUGGGAACUGCCUCCAAAACUGCAUGACUAGAGUACGGUAGAGGGUGGUGGAAUUUCCUGUGUAGCGGUGAAAUGCGUAGAUAUAGGAAGGAACACCAGUGGCGAAGGCGACCACCUGGACUGAUACUGACACUGAGGUGCGAAAGCGUGGGGAGCAAACAGGAUUAGAAACCCUUGUAGUCC